GUGGUGGUGGCCGAGUGGUUAAGGCUUUGGUAUAGAAAUCCAAUGGGGUUCCCCCACGUAGUUUCGAAUCCCGCCCGCCAUG
rnacentral:tRNA from 1 species